rnacentral:miRNA from 1 species
UCUAAGAUCGGUUCUUUUGUAACCGAUCUUAAAAGUUGUAUCAGACAUAACUUUUAAGAUCGGUUAUAAAAUACCGAUCUUAAA